UUCCUUCUCACCAAUGCCUCCAUCUACCGAACGGUCGUAGAAGUCGAGGAAGAUGAUGCCACAAACCCAGCCGGCCCAUUUCGGAUUCCGAAAUGUAGGAAGGAGUUUCAGCAAGCACAACACCUAAGAGCUUGCCAGCAAUGGCUCCACAAGCAGGCAAUGCAGUCCGGUAGUGGUCCAAGCUGGACCCUCGACGGUGAGUUUGAUUUUGAAGACGACAUGGAGAACCCUCAGAGCCCACAGCAGAGGCCACCGCUACUCCAGCAGUGCUGCAACGAGCUCCACCAGGAAGAGCCACUUUGUGUUUGCCCAACCUUGAAAGGAGCAUCCAAAGCCGUUAAACAACAGGUUCGACAACAGCAAGGACAGCAGGGACAGCAGCUGCAGCAAGUAAUUAGUCGUAUCUACCAGACUGCUACGCACUUACCUAAAGUUUGCAACAUCCCUCAAGUUAGCGUUUGUCCCUUCCAGAAGACCAUGCCUGGACCCUCCUACUAGAUUCCAAACGAAACCCUCGAGUGUAUGAAUGUGGUUGUCGGUAUAUGUCAACGCCACACUUCAUCGCGUAAUAUGUAAGGUCUUAUCUAGGAUGUUUGAGGCUAUGUAAUUAGCACUACUCCAUAAUAAAAGAGGNNNNNNNNNNNNNNNNNNNNNNNNNNNNNNNNNNNNNNNNNNNNNNNNNNNNNNNNNNNNNNNNNNNNNAAAAAAUAUUUUGAUAAGCGAAAAAUUAAAAUCAUGUAAUUAUAAACAGUUUUAAGUGAUAUAAAUUAAAAUAUAACAAAAUUGAAUUGUUUUCAACAUAGAUGAGUGUAGGUAGUGAAUCAUGGUAUUCUUUGGUCUAGGGUUUGACAACAUAUGUUGUAGUAUUGUAUGUAUACUUAGGGUUAGAUUUUGGAAAGCUUGAAUGUUUUUUUGAAAAAUUAAUUUUUUACCUAUGCAUGUUUAUUUUUGUGUAUAGUAAAUACUUUUGAAGUUUAAUUUGGUUUUAUGAAGUGUUUAGUUAGUUAAUUAAGUUUAGGGGUAAUGUUUAUGAUCUAGACUACUUACAUUUCAGUCGUAUGGUGAAGAAAUUAAAACAGACGACUUACAUGUAAGUCGUCCAAAUAUUUCCGCCUAAAAUUUUUUUAAAAAUUAUUUUCCCGCUUAAAUAAUAUAAACCAGACGACUUACUUGUAAGUCGUCUAGAAAGUGUUCUAUUUUAGUUUCUCACUAAAAAUAUUUUAAUUUCCCGCUAAAAAUAUUAAAACCUUCUGGACGACUUACAAGUAAGUCGUCUGAAUCAAACAUAUUUAACCUAAUUGAAUUUUUUGUCUCCCUAUAUAAAGAAAAAUUUACACAUUUUCUCUCCUCCUCUCAAAUGGCUGCAACAAAAAUGUAAUGUUCAUCACUCUAAAAGUCUUCAACCUCUCUCUAAUCUUUUUGACUUGAAAACACCAAACUUUAUAUGAAUUUUUCAGUUUUGUCUCAUGUCUUUCUUAAUAAUCUAUCUUUUUUGCAGGUUUUUAAUCAGAUGGUACUCAUCUUCCACUCAUUUAAAGGUAGAUCUAUUAAUUUUAGAUAUAUAUUUUUGUGUGUUCUAUAAAGGUAGAUUUAUCUAAUCUUCCACUCAUUUUCUCUAUUUUUAAGUCAUUUGAACGUUUUUGGAUAUGCAGGUUUUUCAGAUCUGGAUUUGAUAUGCAGGUUUUUCAGAUCUGGAAGACUUCUAUAAUGUUCUUGAUCGAUCACCGGUUUUUGAUGGUAUAUUACAAAGUCGAGCUCCAAAAGUUAAUUACAUUGUCAACGGACAUGAGUACCAUUUGGCUUACUAUCUCACAGAUGAUAUUUAUCCAAAAUGGGUUACUUUUGUCCAAUCUAUUCCACUCCCGCAAGGUCUGAAAGCAUCCUUAUUCGCUACACAUCAAGAAGCUGUAUGUAAAGAUGUCGAGCGUGCUUUUUGGGUCUUACAAGCUCGAUUUGCCAUAGUAAAAAAUCCAGCUCUUUUGUGGGAUAAAAUAAAAAUUGGAAAGAUAAUGAGAGCAUGUAUCAUUCUACAUAAUAUGAUCGUAGAAGACGAACGAGAUGAGUACACUCAGUUUGAUGUAUCAGUUUUCGCACAACCAGAAUCAAACCGAAGUUCACAAGUGGAUUUCACGUAUUCUACAGAUAUGCCUUCAAAACUCGGCAAUAUGAUGAGCAUUCGGAAUCGAGUUCGUGAUAAUACAAUACAUCAACAAUUGAAAGCGGAUUUGGUUGAGCAUAUAUGACAAAAAUUUGGAACAAUCAAGAUUUCAACUAAUCGGUUUUUUCUCGUUUACGAUUUGUAUUUGUAUUUUUAAUAUGCUUUUAUGUCAUUUUUAUUAAGAAUUUUAAUGUAUGAUUUUAUUUUUAAUCAUUCUAUUUAAAAAUGAAUUAUUUAAGAACCCCUUGGGGUUCUCCCAUUGGGAGAGGAAUACAUAAUUUCCUCAAACAAAGGUUCUUUAACUACUCAAAUCACUUUAUUAAAUAUUAAUUUACUCCUAAAAACCCAUUAGAGGUUCUAAUGGAUGGACUUGCUCUUAACGAUCCCGAAUUACAUAGUUAUGUGUUCUCACACUUUCUCUUACAAGUGUUUUUAACCGCUUGCUUAAACUUUAAAUUUUAGUUUACCAUGUAAUUAAUUAUGAUCAGUGCCAUUGUGUGAUUCCUUUUUCUUAAAUAUCUUAACUUGAAUUAACUAAAUGUUUAAAAGGAAAUUCGUUUUUUAUAAAAAAUAUACAAAAUGUCAGAAUAUGAACUACACAUCAUACAUGCAUGGUUGCAUGGCAUGUAGACGCGGAAACUUGUCACUCCUCCACAUUUGAGAUUCCAACACCUAAUCGCUACAAAAACCUUAUAGAUUCUCCCUUUCUCACAAACAAACAAACACAUUCAUGCAAUGUUACACGUGAUCUCCAUGCAGAACAUCUUUCACGCCUAUAAAUACCAACCAACACUCCACUUCCCUCUUCACUCAAACGAAAACAAGCAAAAAACAUACACACAAAUAGCAAAUGGCCAACAAGCUCUUUCUCGUCUCGGCGACUCUCGCCCUCUUCUUCCUUCUCACCAAUGCCUCCAUCUACCGAACGGUCGUAGAAGUCGAGGAAGAUGAUGCCACAAACCCAGCCGGUCCAUUUAGGAUUCCGAAAUGUAGGAAGGAGUUUCAGCAAGCACAACACCUAAGAGCUUGCCAGCAAUGGCUCCACAAGCAGGCAAUGCAGUCCGGUAGUGGUCCAAGCUGGACCCUCGAUGGUGAGUUUGAUUUUGAAGACGACAUGGAGAACCCUCAGAGCCCACAGCAGAGGCCACCGCUACUCCAGCAGUGCUGCAACGAGCUCCACCAGGAAGAGCCACUUUGUGUUUGCCCAACCUUGAAAGGAGCAUCCAAAGCCGUUAAACAACAGGUUCGACAACAGCAAGGACAGCAGGGACAGCAGCUGCAGCAAGUAAUUAGUCGUAUCUACCAGACUGCUACGCACUUACCUAAAGUUUGCAACAUCCCUCAAGUUAGCGUUUGUCCCUUCCAGAAGACCAUGCCUGGACCCUCCUACUAGAUUCCAAACGAAACCCUCGAGUGUAUGAAUGUGGUUGUCGGUAUAUGUCAACGCCACACUUCAUCGCGUAAUAUGUAAGGUCUUAUCUAGGAUGUUUGAGGCUAUGUAAUUAGCACUACUCCAUAAUAAAAGAGGAUUUUAGUGUUUUAUUCGGUGUGCAUGCUCUCUAAGUGGUUCAAGAUUUUAGUUUUCAAGCAAAUUCCAAUCAAAAUUGUGCGUUACUUACAUCGGCUGUUUAACGGCGUGCAAAACACCGAUCGAACUGAUCUACGAGGGCAUAUGCCAUCGUUCAAUCUCUGACCAAGUCUCUUACAAUAAAUUAAUGAAUAAUAAUACUAAUUAAGCAAAAAGAGAGAGAAGUGAACGAUCAGCUCUUCAGACCACCUCCAGGACCCCUAAUGGGUACUGAAAAUUAAAUUAGUGUUUAAUUUAGUGAUUUGAAAGGUUUAGAACCUCUAUUAAUCUAUUUAAUUUUUUCAUCUUCUAUUGGUAGAACUUCAUUGAGGUACUUAAAAAAUAAUUUAUUUUUUUUAAAGUUGAAUGAUUUGAAAGACCAUGAUACAUAAAAUUUUCAGGGGAAUUUGUCAAAACUAACCCACAACUUAAUUUUAAUCCCAAACAUAUACUCAAACUUGAAUCAAAUGCAAAGCUAAUAUAAAAGCCUUGUGAAAUUACAGCUCAACCACUUUUUCUAAGUCAUUUUUACGAAUAUAGCCCUAGUAAAUCGUCUGAGUCGUCUGAGAUGUUGGAAGUCGUCUGGACGACUUCAAAUUAAGUCUUCUGGUGUAGUUGAUCUUAAAAAUAACUUUUAAAUUUUUUAAAAAAUAUUUUGAUAAGCGAAAAAUUAAAAUCAUCUAAUUAUAAACAGUUUUAAGUGAUAUAAAUUAAAAUAUAACAAAAUUGAAUUGUUUUCAACAUAGAUGAGUGUAGGUAGUGAAUCAUGGUAUUCUUUGGUCUAGGGUUUGACAACAUAUGUUGUAGUAUUGUAUGUAUACUUAGGGUUAGAUUUUGGAAAGCUUGAAUGUUUUUUUGAAAAAUUAAUUUUUUACCUAUGCAUGUUUAUUUUUGUGUAUAGUAAAUACUUUUGAAGUUUAAUUUGGUUUUAUGAAGUGUUUAGUUAGUUAAUUAAGUUUAGGGGUAAUGUUUAUGAUCUAGACUACUUACAUUUCAGUCGUAUGGUGAAGAAAUUAAAACAGACGACUUACAUGUAAGUCGUCCAAAUAUUUCCGCCUAAAAUUUUUUUAAAAAUUAUUUUCCCGCUUAAAUAAUAUAAACCAGACGACUUACUUGUAAGUCGUCUAGAAAGUGUUCUAUUUUAGUUUCUCACUAAAAAUAUUUUAAUUUCCCGCUAAAAAUAUUAAAACCUUCUGGACGACUUACAAGUAAGUCGUCUGAAUCAAACAUAUUUAACCUAAUUGAAUUUUUUGUCUCCCUAUAUAAAGAAAAAUUUACACAUUUUCUCUCCUCCUCUCAAAUGGCUGCAACAAAAAUGUAAUGUUCAUCACUCUAAAAGUCUUCAACCUCUCUCUAAUCUUUUUGACUUGAAAACACCAAACUUUAUAUGAAUUUUUCAGUUUUGUCUCAUGUCUUUCUUAAUAAUCUAUCUUUUUUGCAGGUUUUUAAUCAGAUGGUACUCAUCUUCCACUCAUUUAAAGGUAGAUCUAUUAGUUUUAGAUAUGUAUUUUUGUGUGUUCUAUAAAUGUAGAUUUAUCUAAUCUUCCACUCAUUUUCUCUAUUUUUAAGUCAUUUGAACGUUUUUGGAUAUGCAGGUUUUUCAGAUCUGGAUUUGAUAUGCAGGUUUUUCAGAUCUGGAAGACUUCUGGGACGACUUACCUGUUAGUCGUCUGGAAGUCGUCUGGAAGUCGUCUGGACUUCUUGGAAGUCUUCUGACAAAGUCGUCUGGACUUCCAGGAAGUCGUCUGGACUUCGACGAAGUCGUCUGGACUUCCAGGAAGUCGUCUGGACUUCCAGGAAGUCGUCUGGACUUCCAGGAAGUCGUCUGGACUUCCAGGAAGUCGUCUGGACUUCCAGGAAGUCGUCUGGACUUCCAGGAAGUCGUCUGGACUUCCAGGAAGUCGUCUGGACUUCCAGGAAGUCGUCUGGACUUCAUGGAAGUCUUCUGACGAAGUCUCCCUUUCAUAAUAGAUCUGAGCGUUUUGGUAAGUUCUUAUGUCUGAUUUUUCUUCAUUUGGUAACUUCUUGUUGUAUAAAGUUCUUACUUUUUUCCCAAACUAAAACUCUCCAAACCCACUCUAAUCUCUUUGACUUGAAAACACCAAACUUUAUAUGAAUUUUCCAGUUUUGUCUCAUGUCUUUCUUACUAAUCUAUCUUUUUUGCAGGUUUUUAAUUAGAUGGUACUCAUCUUCCACUAAUUUAAAGGUAGAUCUAUUAUUUUUAGAUAUGUAUUUUUGUGUGUUCUGUAAAGGUAGAUUUAUCUAAUCUUUCACUCAUUUUUUCUGUUUUUAAGCCAUUUGAACGUUUUUGGAUAUGCAGGUUUUUCAGAUCUGGAUUUGAUAUGCAGGUUUUUCAGAUCUGGAAGACUUCUGGGACGACUUACCUGUUAGUCGUCUAAAAUAUAAUGCACUAGACGACUUCCAGGAAGUCUUCCAGACGACUUCCAUUUCAGUCGUCUAGACUUCCUAAAAGUCGUCUAGACUUCCUGGAAGUCAUCUGGAAGUCGUCUGGACUUUCUGGAAGUCUUCUGACAAAGUCUUCUUCCAUAUCAAGUGGAGUCCAAGCUUGUCUUUGUAGAGGAAUGAUCUAUAAUAGUUUUGUUUGUGGUCUGUUUUGUGAAUUGCAUGUCUACUCUUUUAGUUGUGAAUUUUUUGUAAAAUCAGUAAUAAUGUUUUCCAAGAUGUAUUAAAUGUGCUAACAAUGUGUUUACACAUUUACAAAUCAAUGAAAUAAUAAACUUCAGUAGCCUUUUUUUAUCAAUAAUAAACAAAUCAAUGAAAUAAUAAACUUCAGUAGCCCGUCUUCCGCUGAUCCUCUCACCAUUUCUUGCGCAUAUAACAAUGCUCUGUAUGAAGUGGUGUAAUCAAGUGUCAUGCCAAACAUGUUCUUCAUUGCAUCUUUGAUAUGCUGCGGAUUCAACCCAUCAAUGAUUCCAACACGAUCUAUGAAAAGUCGACCAAUGUACUUCGGAGUACAGCGUUUCCGCUGAGCGAUUCUGUCUGGAAUGGAACAUGUAUGAGUUGCCACAUACUUGGUUACCCGAAACGUUUUAGUCCCAUGUUUCACACUUGCUCGGACCUUCCAUUGACAACCACUAACAUGAUAUGUUGCCACAAAGAGAGUUUUCGUUGACUUGAAUAUUCUGAAGGAGAACCUACGCCUCACCGCUGUCAACCGCAACUCUGAAAGCAGUGCAUCCUUACUAGCAAAACUCUGGUUGACAUAGAUUCUGUCUACAGAUGAUCCUUCUCCUUCACAACCAUAUGCCCAAAACAGAUUUCAUCAUCUUCUUCCUCAUCCUCGUCUUUAACCAUUCCAUACUCACUAUAAUCAUCAGCAUCAGCGACAACAGGGAUGUCAGCAUCCUCUUCCCCAUCAUGAUCCUCAGCUUCAUGCCCCUCCUCAGCUUCAUCCCCCUCCUCAGCUUCAUGCCCCUCUUCAGCUUCAUCCCCCUCCUCAGCUUCAUCCCCCUCCUCAGCCUCAUCUCCCACAUGAUCUUCAUCCCUUUUCUCUGAAACCGUUCUCAUCUUGCUAAAGCUUGAUACACAAAGACGUACUUCAUGCAUUUUAGUUAUCUCGAGCAAGUUCUGAACUUGUAUAUCACUUGUAACAUGAAUAGGAGGAAGGUCUGGAGCCAUCUGUUGUAAUGAGUAGGUUAACUCCACAGACUCUAUGAAACUUCAAUCUAAGUACUCAUGAUGACUAAACUAUACGUCGUCUGGUCAACGCAGAGGUUAUUUUUGCAAUUGACUUUGAAAUCUGUUAUUUCAGACGACUGAAAAAUAAGUCGUCUACUUUUGUUUGGUUUAAAGAAAAAACUCCAAAAAAGCUAGACGACUUACAUUUCAGUCGUCAUGGGUUAGUUUUGCAUUUGACUGGAUUAUUUCAGAAGUUUUACUUUCCUGGACGACUUAGAUUUCAGUCGUCUCGUGAAAAUUAAAAUAAUAAUAUUUUUUUUAAAACUAGACGACUUACAAUUAAGUCGUCAUAUGUUAGUUUUGCAAUUGAAAAAGAAAACUUCAAUAUUUAAUUAUAUAUAGAUGACUUACAAUUCCGUCGUCCGUCAGACGACUUACGUGUAAGUCGUCCAGGAUUUACGAGGUUUGACCAGAAUCUCGGAAUAAAAUCCUGGCUGAAUUGUAAGUCGUCUGGGUAUGAUUAAAUAUUGAAGUUUUUUUUUCAAUUGCAAAACUAACCUAUGACGACUUAAUUGUAAGUCGUCUAGUGUUAAUAAAAUAUUGAUAUUUCAAUUUUCACCAGACGACUGAAAUGUAAGUCGUCCGGGAAAGUCAAACUUCUGAAAUAUUCUAGUCAAAUGCAAAACUAACUUAUGACGUCUGAAAUGUAACUGUGUUUGACUUUAAGUUGUAGGUCAAUUCUGCCAAAAGCCUAAAUUUUUAUUAAAAAUGACAUAAAAGCAUAUUAAAAAUGCAAAUACAAACCGUAAACGAGAAAAACAGAUUAGUUGAAAUCUUGAUUUGUUCCACUUUAGUCGUCUGAGAAAACCGAUUUCAAAGUCAAUUGCAAAAAUAACCUCUGCGUUGACCAGACGACUUCAAACUUGAUUCUGAAUGCUCAUCAUAUUGCCGAGAUUUGAAGGCAUAUCUGUAGAAAACGAGAAAUCCACUUCUGAACUUCGGUUUGAAUCCGAAUUUUUGAAAAUUGAAAUAUCAAACUGAGUGUAUCCAUCUCGUUCGUCUUUUACGAUCAUAUUAUGUAGAAUGAUACAUGCUCUCAUUAUCUUUCCAAUUUUUAUUUUAUCCCACAAAAGAGGUGGAUUUUUUACUAUGGCAAAUCGAGCUUGCAUGACCCCAAAACCUGAAAUUGGUUGUUCAUGAUGGUUGGGGUAUUGAUGACAAUGGCAAUAUUGUAAUUACUUGAAGAUGAUGAGGGUGAGAGAGUAAAAAUGUUAUUUUCGAAAAGAAAAAAAAUUGAUGGCAUUUUCGUAAAUUAUAUGAACUUGUGGGGUGAAUAGGGCAAAACCAAUUUCCAAAAAAAAGGAGGUUAGUUCUGUGUUUGACUUUAAGUUGUAGGUCAAUUCUGCCAAAAGCCUAAAUUUUUAUUAAAAAUGACAUAAAAGCAUAUUAAAAAUGCAAAUACAAACCGUAAACGAGAAAAACAGAUUAGUUGAAAUCUUGAUUUGUUCCAAAUUUUUGCCAUAUAUUCUCAACCAAAUCCGCUUUCAAUCGUUGAUGUAUUGUUCUAUCACAAACUUGAUUCUGAAUGCUCAUCAUAUUGCCGAGAUUUGAAGGCAUAUCUGUAGAAAACGAGAAAUCCACUUCUGAACUUCGGUUUGAAUCCGAAUUUUUGAAAAUUGAAAUAUCAAACUGAGUGUAUCCAUCUCGUUCGUCUUUUACGAUCAUAUUAUGUAGAAUGAUACAUGCUCUCAUUAUCUUUCCAAUUUUUAUUUUAUCCCACAAAAGAGGUGGAUUUUUUACUAUGGCAAAUCGAGCUUGCAUGACCCCAAAACCUCGCUCGACAUCUUUACGUACAGCUUCUUAAAGUGUAGCGAAUAAAGAUGCUUUUGGACCUUGCGGAAGUGGAAUAGAUUGGACAAAAGUAACCCAUUUUGGAUAAAUAUCAUAUGUGAGAUAGUAAGCCAUUUGGUACUCGUGUCCGUUGACAGUGUAGUUAACUUUCGGAGCUCGACCUUGUAAUAUAUCAUCAAAAACUGGUGAUUGAUCAAGAACAUUGAUAUCGUUUAAUGUGCCUAGAGGUCCGAAAAACGCGUGUCAUAUCCAGAGGUCUUGUGAAGCUACAACCUCUAGAACAAUUGUUGGCUUUCCUGAUCCACGUGUAUAUUGUCUUUUCCAUGCGGUUGGACAAUUCUUCCACUCCCAAUGCAUACAAUCAAUGCUUCCUAUCAUCCCGGGAAAUCCGCGUAGCUCUCCAAUAUCGAGUAGUCGUUGAAGAUCUUCUGGAGUGGGUCUUCUUAGAUACUCAUCUCCAAAUAAAUUUAUGAUUCCUUGAACAAAAUGUUCUAAGCAUAAAAGCGCGGUAGUCUCACCAAGUCAGAGGUAUUCGUCGACCGCAUCAGCUGGGCAACCAUAUGCCAUCAUACGAAUUGCUGCCAUUUUCUUUUGUAACGGAGAGAGACCGAACCUUCUAGUAGCAUCUCCUCUUUGUUGAAAGUAUGAUAUUUCAGCGGAGAGUCGAUCAACAAUACGCCUGAACAAGGAUUUGUUCAUUCGAAAACAGCAUUGAAACAUGUGCGAAGGAUAUGUUGCAUCUUCACUAAAAUAAUCGUUCCAUAACUGCAUGUGUCCUUGUUCUCGUUGUCUUUCAAUGUAUGCUCGUUUAUUUUUUGGCGUUGAUGUUUCUUGACGAUCUUCAUAACGAGUGAGAAGAUUUUCAAAUUGUUGAUCGAAAAUUUGGUCCAAUCUCUCCUCCAUCAUAUCUUCGUAAUUAUUAUUAGAAGAAGAAGCCAUUUAGAAGAGAAAUGGUAAAUGAAUUUUUUUUUUUUUUGUAUAAAAGAAAUGUUGGAUGUUGUUUUCUUGUACGAUGGAAAGAGAAGGGAGGUAAACAAAUAAAAGAGCUUCAAACUUGUUCUUCUACACUCAGAAAAAAAAGAAACAAAGGAAAUAUUUUUUUUUAAUAUGGUAUAAGAGAAAUGUUUGAUGUUGUUUUCUUGUACAAUGGAAAGAGAAGAGGGGUAAACAAAUAAAAGAGGUUCAAACUUGUUCUUCUACACUCGGAAAGAAAAGAAGCAAAGGAAAAUUUUUUUUUAAUGGUAGAAGAGAAAUGUUCUUUUACACUCGGAGGAAACACAACUUAGAAAGGAAACACAAGUUGCUUUACAACUUGCAAACCAGCUAUGCAGCACGUUGGUUUUCUUGUACUGUCUUCUUGUCUUUACAAGUCACAUGUUCCUGUCUUCUUGUUCUGUCAAUGCACUGGAUGAUCCACAUGCUACUUUAUGUCACACGCUCUUCUUGUCUUCUUUAUGUCACAUGCUAUUGUCGCUUUACCUGCACAAGCACGAGACAAGUCUCAGUACAACACGAGAGAACAACACACACGUCUCAGUACAAUACACGAGAGCAACAGAAGAACACACACAAUUUCAUUAAUAUGUCACAUGCUAAUACAAACUCGACAUCAAGCAUAAAGCAACGAGAGAGAGCAAAAGAAGAACACACACAAUUUCAUGCUAAUACAGACUCCAUUAACUAACAGACUCGACACAAACAUCAUAAAGACACAAACAACAUACAUACUUGGCAAUUUCAACACAAAAAUCAUAAGACUCAAACUAACAUAUCAUUAAUAAGCUUGUUUUUUAAGGCAAUUUCGAGUUCAGUUAAUGGUUCAGUCUUGGCAAUGAGGCUAUCAAGCAAUUUUUGCUUGUUAAGAGUUUCCUUCAAAGCAAAAUCCGCUUGCCUAAUCUCCCAGAUGCUCUGAAAUUCCCUCCUCUCCUUCUCUUCCUCUUCCAAAGUAGCUUGCUUCCUCACUGGUUUUUUUCCUUUUGCCUUUGCUGCUUAAACCCCAACUGGCCGACCCAUAGCUUCCUCUCCAUGGCCAUCUUGCACAGAGGAUGAUGAUUGUGUCGUCUGGGCAUCCAACUUCCUUCUUUUAGACUAAACUUUAUCCUUAGUAGAAGAAGCUCCACUCCAUUCCUGAUCAUAACGAAGUUCCAACCAUGCAUGCUCCAUUGUGAACUUCUUCUUGUAAUCAUCAAAGUAAAUCUCGUGAGCCAUUUUCAAGACGUCAUUCUCGUUCUGUCCACUCGAUCUCUGUUUCGUUGCAGCUUCAUAGCACCCAACAAACUUACACACGGCUUCAUUGAUUUUCCCCCACCUUGAUUUACAGUUGUUGUCUCUCUGGGCUGCAAACCAUCGAGCUUGGGACUUGCAGUAUAGUAAGCAGCAAUUCGUUUCCAAAACGUACUUGCUUUCUGCUCAUUCUCAACCACUGCAUCCUUGGAAGUGUUCAACCAAGCACUUAUCAGCACACCAUCUUCUGUUGGUGACCAUUUAUGCCUCUCUUUACGGUCAGACACAGUCUCUGCGUCUUCAUUGCCAUCUUCAUUCCAUUAUGAACAGAAAACAGAGGCAUCAGACGCAGAGACAGACUGAUAAGGCUCACGAGGGACAGACUAAUAAGGCUCAUGAGGGACAGACGCAGAGACUGACUCAUUCCAUUGAGUGUUUGGUUGUUGACUGGUCAAGAAGUUUUGAAAGCUAUAUUGUUGAAUAUAAGGAUCCAUACGAGUUUUGGAGAAGAGGUUUUGAAAGCUAAAAAGAAAGAACAAAAUAGAAGGAAAUAGUUUUGGAGAAGUAAAUAAAUUUGGAGUCAUGGUUUAUAGUUGUUAAAGUUUUUUGUUGUUGAAGUUUUAAUGGAAAGUUUUAAUGGCAAGUUUAAAGUUUGAAGUUGGAGAAGUUUUAAGUUGUUAAAGUUUUAAUGACAAGAGAAUCAAUAUCCCUUUAUUAUUAUUUGAGGAGCAUUAUAGAUAAUUAACUUUUAGUUCAUGUGUUAUUUUCAAAAUUGUCAUUUCCUGCGUGGCAGCACCAUAAACCCUCUCACAUCUUAUAUUCAAAAAUCAUUUGUUAACUAGAUUAAUUACAAUAAUUGUCAUUGCUUGCCAUUGAUCAUUUGAUUAUAAUUUUACUAAUAUACUGUAAGCUUCUUCAUUACAAUGACUAACAAAACAUUGACGUCCAUGUUUAAUGCGUUUUCAUUAUAAUUCAAACUUACGGGCGUAUAGUCAUUUAUUCCCAGAUCCGGUCCACAAAGUUAAUUAUAUAUGAGAUAACGAUUUUGUAGAUGGUAUAAUCCGAUACAUAUAUAACUAAAAUAAGUAUAAUUUAUAACACGUGUAUGUGGACCAUCUAUAAUGAUUCGGAUUAUACCAUUAUGUGCAUAUGUAUCGGAUUUAAUGUAACAAAAUAUUACCGUUAAAAUUAUAAUCUCUUCACAAUGUUAGCAGAACUCUAACAUAUGUUAUAAAUUAUACUUAUUAUAGUUAAUAUUUAAAUAGAGUGAGACAAAAAUAUAUGCACACGUUUUUACAAGUAUUCAUCAUAUAGCAUUUUAUAAUAUGUUAGACAUUAUAUAUAUAAAUGUGAUAUAAGUAUAAUGCCUAACUAUAGUCUAAUUCAAAAAAAUGUCUAACUAUAGUGUCUACAAAUUAAUUUCGUUUAAGGACUUAUCGUAACAAGGGGAUGUCUAACUAUUACGAAAUCACGAUGGCCCAUAUAACUCCGUUUAAGGACUUAUCAUAAUUGUAAUUGUAAACCAUGAUUAAUGAUUGCUACGAAAUCACGACGUCUAACUAUUAAUAUUAAAAAGAAACAUGAUUUGCAAUAACUUUGUUCAAAUCUGGGUGAAAGUUAAAAAGACACUUCUAAUAACGUUGCAAUAUAUAUGAUAUAUAUGAAAGUUGAAAGGAAACUUCUAAUAAUUUUAGUUGUUCUAUCUCUUAAUGAAACGUGAUUUGCAAGGACAACCGUAAUUAAUGAUUGUUAAAAGGAAACUUCUAAUAACUUUGAUAUAUUUUUAAAUUACGAAUUUGGUAACGUUUUGGUAAUAAUACUUGAAUCAAAUCCGCCAUUAUUUUUUAUAAAAUUUUGGUAAUAAUAGGGAGUCGAUUAUGGUUACAAAAUUUUGUCAACUAUUAAUAUGUUGUAUAUAAGGAAGUUAUAUUGUGGAUUCAAAUUAUUCGAAUCAAUUAACAAUCGUGAAUUUUAUUUAUUUUGUUCAAUUGUAAUUUAUAAAAGGAAGUUCGAUUAUAGUGUCUACAAAAUUUAGGUAAGUUACGAUUACCAUUGGAGCCCAAGUUAUGUGAAAUUAAAUACAGUAGAACAUCUAUAAAUUAAUAAUGUUGAGAUUUUGAAAUUUAAUUAAUUUAUAGAGAUAUUAAUGUACAAAAGUUUCCUUAUUUAGAUUUUUUAUUUUAAGAUAUAUUUAUUCUAAGAUAAAAAAAAAUAUUUGAUUUUAGUGUAUAAACAUUAAUUAUUAUUUUUUGAAAAUUCACAUUUAUAUUAAUUUUAUUAUAUUAUUUGGUGUAUAUAAUAUAUAUCGCAUAGAAGUUAAAUGUGCUUUUAGAUAUAAUAUUACUAAAUCUCAUCAAAAUUUAUUAAGUGUUAAGAAAAUAUAAAGAUAAUUCUAUUGUGAAUAUAAAACAAACAAUAUAAUAGUAGGUUCUUACUUAUAUAAAAUAUGUAUAUAUAGAAAUUAUUAAUUUAUAAUUUUAAUGGGACCAUAUAUUUACAUAGAAUUUUCUAAAAAAUUAUUAUCUUAUUAUUUUAUCUAUUGUGUCAAAUUUUGAACCGACCCAAGUUGGGAUCGGCAAAAUUUAUUAAUUUAUAGAGAUUAUUAAUUUAUUGAGUAUUAAUUUAUAGAGGUUCUAGAGUAUGUAAUAAUAUAUUUAAUUACAGUGUAUCAUUAAUCACAUGGGCGCUGCCUUCUUAAUAUAAAUAUAUGUUCUCUAAAAUUCAUCGACUCACCACACACUUCUUCUCGACUUCCUAAUUAUCAAAACAUUCUCUGGAGCAAACAAAUGGUUGGCUUUAACUCCGUUUCAGAAAGUGGUAUAUCAGUUCGUUUAGUGAAUUUUUUAAGUAUGUAUGUUUUGUUCGGUAAACUAAUUCUUAGUUAUUUCUCUCUAUAGGAUUGCAAACCAGAAGUUCUGAAGACCCUUUAUCAGUUUUUUAUUUGUUUCCUUGUAAUUUGUUUCUUUCGUAUUUUAUUUUUCUAUUACUUAUGUUUUAAAUAUUAUAAUCAUAAUUUUAUUUAUGAAAUCAAUAAUUAUAUUUCCUAUGUUUUGUUUUGUCUUAAAUUCAUAAUAAAUUAAUAAAAGUUAUUGCAUACUAUUAUAUAUUUUUUACAUAAAAUAUAUCUAAUUUACACAUAACCAACUACAAAAAACAAUCUUUUUCAAAAAAAAAACAAUAUUUUUCAAAAAAAACACUUAAGAUUACAUUAUAUUCACACUUUCGUUCCAUAUAUAUCAUUAGAUCUAAUAUUUUUGUCUAUAACUUUAAAAUUUCUAAUAUCUGUAAAAUUAUUUAAAAAAAUUUCUUUUGAUCAUUCACUCCGCGUAUGGCGUGGGUUAUCACUUAGUGUAUACGCUAAAACAACCACGCAACCUAAAUAUCAAAACUAAAGUUCAUUUAAUUCUCAACCAUUUUCUAAAUCACGUAAUCAAUAUCAUGCUCACCAUUAAAAGCAAAUCUACUUAGACAGAAAAUCUACCUUACCUCUUCUUAACUCUGAAAUUAAAAGACAUAAGCUUUGAUGACCAUGAAUCCAUUGCCUUUCUUCCACAACCAACAAAGAAAGUAAAAUUAAAAGUUAUUCUCUGUAAAGAAAUAAAAUGAGUCAAAUUACACAGUAAGAGUAAUGUGACAAAUAUCAUAUGAUAUCGGCGAUGACUUUGGCGAAAGCGAUUUUUAGGGUUCCAAGAUGAUUUUUUCACGGUGGCGAGUUAUGGAUCGGCGACGGAUCCGAGAGGGUGGAGAGAGGGCUUUAUGCUAUAGGGAAGCUGAGGAGGAGUCUCGGGUUAGUGAGGGAUUUUGUGGGUUUAAUCGAUCUCGGGAGAUCUGGUUAGGUGAUUUGAGGGGUUGCGAUAAUCUCUUACAAGGAUUGGACUUGGUAAUCUUCAUUUUACGAGGAGGAGAGGCUACAAGGGAUGAGGAGGACAGGGAAACUUUUGGUACUAGAUCGGGAUUUGGAUUGAUGGUCAUUUUCCGGAGUGGUUUGCGGUUCCUAGGUUGGAAGAGAGGAGAUAGGGGUGGAUCGGGUAGGAAGGGUCCUGUGCUGCUGAUCACGUAUUCUUGGAUGACAAGGAGUUUUCAAACUUUCACUAUAUUAUUCCCAACUCAAGGCUUAAUAAAGGACACAAGCAGAAGUGAGCAGGUUCUCAUUGCUGCUUUUGGAAGGGUAGUGUUCUACUUUGCUUGGACACGAGAUAGCUUUACAAUCAGGUUUUACUAUUUAUAUGCACUGUUUGCUUGGCAUGAUGCUUAUUGGUAUGAGGAUAUAAGAAAAGUGUUUCAAGCUCGAGGAUGGUAUCUUGCGUCUUUAAGUUCGGUGAUAUUGGUUUCAUUAGACAAGAAUAUGGAGAGGAGCCAGUUCGGCCAAGUGACAAUGGUCACUGUAAUGGGUGUGGGGUCUGCUUUGAAUGACAUGGGGUUAAUGCGAUGGUCUCAGGGUGCUAAUGAGGAGGAUUUUUUCUUAUCUCAUGAUUGGGUUAAAAGGCUUAUGUGUCUUAGUGGUUCCGUACAUUUUGUUUUCAUAUUUUUAAUUUUUUGGGUAAUGUUUACUAAUGCAGUUUUACUUGGAUGUUUUGGACUUUAUGGGAGCCAAAUAUGGUAUGCUUGGGUUUUAAAAGGGUGCUUACUAAUUUGUAGUUUGCUUGGGGGUUGGAAUGCAUGGAAUAAAUUUGUUGACUUUGGUGUUUGGAUUUGUUUCAAAUCGUUGCAACGAAGGGAUCAGAAUUUUUUACUUAUGCAAUUUGAUGUUCAUGGGAGGGAAAUAAAGGAGUUGGUACAUAUGUGUUUUGUUGGUUUUGGGAUGUGGCUCGGGACAGAGCAGAACGCUUUGGCUGCACGGACUCGAGGCCUGCGGCUGGUCUCUUUAAACCAGUUGCAGAGAGUUUCUUUGGAGAGGCUUAAAGUGCUCGUUUUGGGAACAUACAGUUCAGUCAUUGUUAUUGGUUCAGGAGCUUCCACAGACUUAUAUAUGUCGUACGUGAAGCGUGUGAUUUAUCUGUUUGGUUUCUUUAUUAUAGUUUAUAUGUUUGGUUUCUCUAUUAUGGUUUUUAUUGGACCCAAUUUAAAGGGUGAGGUUGAGCUGGACAUAAUGUAUAGACUUGGAAUGGAGCAAGGGUCUAUUUUUUUCAUAUUGAAGCUGUUUACUAUGACGGUUAAUUUGGGAGUUCGGUGGAUUAUUGCUUCUUGGUGGUUGGGAUUUCAGGGUAUCAUCAAACCUAAUUUCGCUAAACUCUUGGGAGUUUUUAUUUAUAACUUUAAAUGAGAGUGCUUAGUUGGAAUUGUAGAGGUAUGGGAAGCAAGUGGACUAUGAGCUAUCUAAGAGAGAUAUGGUAUAAACAUAAACCGGAUUUUUUAUUUUUAUCUGAAACAAAACAAGACUCAAAAUUUGUUCAAGAUUUCCAAGCACAUAUUGGAUUUGAUAAUUUGUUCACGGUUGAUCCAUUGGGAAGGAGUGGUGGUUUAGCGCUUUUUUACAACAAUGAUUCUCAGGUCCAAGUCUUAUAUUCUAGUAAUAGAAUGAUCGAUGUGGAAGCGGUGACCCACGGAAAGACGGUUUAUCUUACGUUUGUGUAUGGUGAUCCUGUUCCAAAAUUAAGAGAACAAGUGUGGGAACGUUUGACGAGAUAUGGACUUGCGCGUUCAGAACCCUGGUUCAUCAUUGGGGAUUUAAAUGAGAUUACUGGAAAUCAUGAAAAGGAUGGAGGAUCACUGAGGAGUGCGGAUUCUUUUAUUCCUUUUAAUAAUAUGAUAAGGAAUACUGGGUUAUUGGAAUUUCCGGCACGGGGAAAUAAAAUGUCAUGGCAAGGGAGAAGGGGAAAAGGAAAAGGGGCAGUUACGGUAAGAUGUCGUCUAGAUCGAGCUUUAGCAAAUGAGGAGUGGCAUACUUUGUUUCCAUGUUCUUUUACAGAAUACUUAGGGAUGGUGGCUUCUGAUCAUCGCCCAGUUGUGGCUUAUCUGAAUGAUAAAGUCACUAGGAGAAAAGGGCAAUUUCGGUUUGAUAAAAGAUGGAUUGCACAAGAAGGUCUUUUGGAAUCAAUUACAAUGGGCUGGUCAGAUUAUAGUGCAACAAGGGAAACUGGGAUAGUGGAAAAAAUUAGUAAUUGUCGACAUGAAAUUGCUAAAUGGCGGAAAAAUAAUCCUCCUUAUGGGAAGGACAAAAUUAAUGAGUUACAAAAAGCUCUUGAAGAGGUACAAACAGAUAAUUCUAGAUCUCAAGAGGAUAUUAUCGAGGUCUCAAAGAAGUUGCAAGAUGCAUAUAAAGAUGAAGAGGAGUAUUGGCACCAAAAGAGUAGGAAUACGUGGUAUACAUCUGGGGAUCUCAAUACAAAAUUCUAUCAUGCUUUGACUAAGCAACGACGGGUACGUAAUCGGAUUGUGGGUUUAUAUGAUGCUUUGGGAAAUUGGAUUACGGAAGAUAUGGGUGUGGAAAAAGUGGCAGUGGACUAUUUCGAAGAGCUUUUCACUACCACUUCUCCAACGGAGUUUGAUGACUUUCUCACAGAGGUAUCACCAGGUAUUACUCCUCAAAUGAACCAACGUCUGUUAAGAGUAGCAUCAGAGGAUGAGGUCAGAGAAGCCCUUUUUAUGAUGCAUCCAGAGAAGGCACCAGGACCGGAUGGUAUGACAGCUCUUUUCUUUCAACACUCCUGGCAUAUUAUUAAGAAGGACUUGGUGGACAUGGUGAAUAAUUUUUUGGUUACUGGAACAUUGGAUCCGAGGUUAAAUAUUACUAAUAUUUGUAUGAUUCCAAAAACGGAGAGGCCUACAAGGAUGACAGAACUGAGGCCGAUUAGUCUGUGUAAUGUUGGGUAUAAAAUUAUUUCGAAGGUUCUGUGUCAGAGAUUGAAGAUAUGUCUACCUUCUCUUAUUUCAGAAACUCAGUCAGCUUUUGUGCCAGGAAGGUUAAUCUCUGAUAAUAUUCUUAUUGCUCAGGAAAUGUUUCAUGGAUUACGGACGAACAAGGCGUGCAAAGGAAAAUAUAUGGCAAUUAAAACGGACAUGAGUAAAGCUUAUGAUAGAGUGGAAUGGGAUUUUAUAAAGGCUCUCCUACAGAAGAUGGGUUUUGAUUUUCAUUGGAUUACAUUAAUGAUGGAGUGUAUAUCAUCGGUUCAAUAUCGGGUCCUACUUAAUGGACAGCCACGGGGACUUAUCGUUCCACAUAGGGGUUUACGACAAGGGGAUCCUUUAUCACCUUAUUUAUUUAUCCUGUGUACUGAGGCUCUAAUUGCAAAUAUUAAAAAGGCGGAAAGAAGGAAACUUUUGACGGGAAUGAAGGUAGCUAGAGCAUGUCCAUCGAUAUCUCAUCUGCUUUUUGCGGAUGAUAGUCUUUUUUUCUGUAAAGCUUUGAAAGAGGAAUGCCAUACUAUCCUUAGGAUCUUAAAGGAAUAUGAGGUUGUAUCAGGUCAGCUUAUAAACUUUGAUAAGUCCUCUAUCCAAUUCGGGCACAAUAUUGAGGAAUCAACUAGACAGGACUUAAGAGAUAUAUUGGGAAUUCAGAAUCUUGGAGGUAUGGGAUCUUAUCUAGGUCUUCCAGAAAAUUUGGGAGGAUCCAAGAUACAGGUUUUUAGCUUUGUGCAGGACCGGCUAAAUAAUAGGGUUAAUGGUUGGACUUUUAAGUUCUUCACAAAGGGAGGAAAAGAAGUGAUUAUUAAAUCUGUGGUAACGGCAUUACCAAACCAUGUGAUGUCUGUUUACCGUUUACCUAAGGCAACAACUAAAAAACUGACGACCGCGGUCGCACAAUUCUGGUGGAGCCCAGGGGGAAGGACAAGAGGUAUGCACUGGAAAUCAUGGGAUAAAGUGUGUCUUGAUAAGGAAGCUGGGGGCUUAGGUUUCAAGGAUAUUACAGAUUUUAAUACAGCAAUGCUUGGUAAACAGUUGUGGCGCUUGAUCGAGAAGCCAAAUACAUUAUUUUCCCGGGUUUUUAAGGGACGGUAUUACAGGAAUGCAUCACCCCUGGAACCGAUUCGCUCUUAUUCUCCGUCAUAUGGUUGGCGGAGUAUAGUUUCUGCUAGAUCUCUGGUAAGCAAAGGACUAAUCAAAAGGGUGGGAUCAGGAUCAUCUAUAUCUGUAUGGAACGAUCCAUGGCUCCCAACCACUCGCCCGAGACCAGCAAAUAAAAAUCAACAUAUUUUCGAUCCAAACCUCACAGUGGAUUCUCUUAUUGACUCUACUUCGCGGACAUGGAAUUCGCAUGCACUCAGGGCUAUGAUAGAUCCCCAGGAUGUAAAAAUUAUAGAAAGUAUACCACUGAGUAAAACCCAGAUGGUGGACAGGGAUGGAUGGCAUUUCACAAACAAUGGGAAGUAUACGGUUAAAUCAGGAUAUCAGAUCGAACGGGUUUAUCCAGACAGGGAAAGACCACCUUUAAAGUUUGGACCCACGGUUGAUGCUUUGAAGGCUUUCUGCUGGAAAAUACGGUGCCCCCCAAAGUUAAAACAUUUCUUAUGGCAAUUGGUUACAGGUUGUAUAGCAGUCAAGAAGAAUCUGAAAGCGAGAGGAAUACAAGGUGACACCUGCUGUGCACGUUGCGGAGCGGAGGAGGAAUCGAUCAAUCAUGUGUUUUUUGAAUGUCCUCCUGCACUUCAGGUUUGGGCUCUCUCCAAGAUACCAUCAAAUCCAACUAUGUUCCCAACGAGUUCCCUUUUUACAAAUAUGGAUCAUCUCUUCUGGAGAGUCUCUCCCCCGAUGGAGGACCAUCAAUUUGCAUGGAUACUUUGGUAUAUUUGGAAAGGAAGGAACAAUAAAGUGUUCAGUAAUAUGGACAUGGAUCCAAGAGACACGCUCAAAUUAGCAGAAACAGAGUCAACACUUUGGGCUAAUGCACAUGUAUUGACCGAGACCAGGAUAGGGUCCCAUGUUGAGGUUACGACUCUCCCAUCAAUUCCGGGGAGAUGGUGUUUUACAGAUGGUUCUUGGAAGGAGAAUGAAGUUUUCUCUGGGCAAGGUUGGCUAAGUACUUUAGAAGGCUUUGAUGGGUUGUUAGGAGCAAGGAAUGUCCGAGCUUGUCUAUCCCCUCUACAUGCGGAGAUAGAAGCACUACUUUGGGCAAUGGAAUGUAUGAAAAAUUUACGCCAGUUUCAGGUUACAUUUGCAACGGAUUGUUCUAAGUUGGUGAAGAUGGUUUCGGAACCAGAAGAAUGGCCCGCAUUUGCAAGUUAUUUGGAAGAUAUUAAGUCCCUGAAAGAGGUUUUCACACGUUCGGAGAUUAUCUAUGUACCAAGGAUGCAAAAUUCAAGAGCGGAUAGCCUAGCACGCAGUGCCAGGAAACAACCGUUGUUUGUCGUUCACAUGGAUCAAAAUCUACCGGAGUGGUUUACAGAGUCAGUAUGAGUCUGUAUUUGAUGACAAAAAAAAAAACGUAAAAUUUUAUAUUUUCAUAGAGUUUUUUUUAAAAAAAAAAAAAAAAAAAAAAAAAAGAAAUAAAAUGAUCAAAUAUAUAUAAAAAAUUAUCGAUAAUAUAUACAAAUUAUAUACAAAUAAGCUUAUCAUGCGCAUGGUGCAAGUUUUAUCCUAGUUACAUAUCGAAUGAGACGCAUUUAAUUUUGACCAUGACUAUAUAUAUCAACUUUAACUCAAUAUUUCUGAUUAAGCUCCCAAUAUAUAUUUUCAACUACCUCCAGAGUAUAUAGACUCUCAUCCCACUUAAUGAAUGUUUUUAUUUUAUUUUAUGAAGUUAAGUUUUUACCUUCUUUUUUAAAAAAAUAUCGUUCAUAAGAUGUCACGCCAGGACAUGAACUACACAUGCGUCACACAUAGCAUGCAGAUGCGGACGAUUGUUUUUGUUCGUCAUUUGUCAAUCACUUCAAACACCUAAGAGCUUCUCUUUCACAGAACACACACACACACACACAAUCAUAUGCAUGCAUUAUUACACGUGAUCGCCAUGCAAAUCUCAUUUCUCACCUAUAAAUUAACUCCUCAGCUUCACUCUUUACUCACACCAAAACUCAUCAUUACAAACAAGGUUAAACACAUACACAAAUGGCGAACAAGCUCUUCCUCGUCUCGGCAACUCUCGCCUUCUUCUUCCUUCUCACCAAUGCCUCCGUCUACAGGACGGUUGUGGAAGUCGACGAAGAUGAUGCCACAAACCCAGGCGGCCCAUUUAGGAUUCCAAAGUGUAGGAAGGAGUUUCAGCAAGCACAACACCUAAGAGCUUGCCAACAAUGGCUCCACAAGCAGGCAAUGCAGUCCGGUAGUGGUCCUAGCUUGGCCCUCGCCGGUGAGUUUGAUUUUGAAGACGACAUGGAGAACCCCCAGGGCUCACAGCAGAGGCCGCCACUACUCCAGCAGUGCUGCAACGAGCUCCACCAGGAAGAGCCACUUUGCGUUUGUCCAACCUUGAAAGGAGCAUCCAAAGCAGUUAAAUCCCGGGUUCAACAACAGGGACAAAUGCAGGGACAACAGCAGCAGCAAAUAGUGGGCCGUAUCUACCAGACCGCUAAGCACUUACCUAGAGUUUGCAACAUCCCGCAAGUUAGCGUUUGUCCCUUCCAGAAGACCACCCCUGGGCCCUACUACUAGAUUCCAACGAAACCCUCGAGAGUGUAUAUACCACGGUGAUGAGUGUGGUCGUUGAUGUAUGUUAACACUAAAAAGUCAUCGUGUGUGUUUUAUAAAUAAUGUACGUUAAAAUGUUCGAGGCUAAUGUAAUAAGAACUACUCCGUUGACGGUAAUAAAAGAGAAGUUUUUUUUAUACUGUUGCUCCAUCCUAAAAAGUGAUAAUUAACGACAGAUACGCCCAAAAAAACAAAUUAAUAUACUCACAAUGAAUCAGUAGUCUAAUGAACAUGUUAGACUAAAUGUCUAAUUAAGCCGUUUUUGCCAAAAAAAAAAGGGUUCAAAUCGUCCAUUGGGAUCAAACAAUGACUCAAUCAGGUUUGAUCAGAUACUCGAAAUCCUUUUUGAUCGCAUUCUCAUGAAUCCACUGUAAUAUAACGAUUUCCUAUGUUGUAAAGCCUCUUUAGUAGAAAAAUAACGAUAAGCAGCAAUAUAAAUGUAUUUCAGUUUAAGAUUAGCACUACAAGAAAUUUGGGUUUUAAUAGCAGACUAGUAUAGCAUUUUUUUCGAUUGUGCUAUUGUUGACAUACCUCUUACUUUUAGAUAGCGUUUGUGAAAAUGCAAAUACUAUCUUUGGUUGGUCCGAUUUUAGGAGGAACCCCUAUCCCGGAGCCAAUCCCCUAUUGGUCCUGCGUAAAUGUUUUUUCUAAACCUAGUAUACAUAGCAUUUUCAGUUUUGAAACGCAAUGCAUAAUUAAAAUAAUUGAUUUUUCCUUUCACCCUUGUUUCGCUUUCCUACUCACUAUAUUUUAUUUGCCUCCAAAAACCUUAACACUAAAUUUAAACCCUAAAGUUUUAACACAAUCCCUAAACUCUAAAUAAACUUUAAAUUCUAAAAUUUUAACAUUAAAUCUUAAAUUUAACUUCAUAUCUUAAAUAUAAACUAAAAAAUUACUAUUUUCAAAAGUUAAUCUCAAAUCUUAAAUCAAUACUCCAAACCCUUAACCCUCAAACCCUAUACUCAAAACUUUAUUCUAAACUCCAAACUUUAAAUCUAAAUUCAUAUCAAACUUUUCUAAAAUUUAAUACACUACAAUUUUUAACUACAUGCUAGUCUUAACUUAUAUAUAUAUAUAUAUGUGUAUUUUGCAAAUCUUGAAUUUUGGAGUUUAGGGUAUGUUUAGAGUUAAGAUCUAAAUUUAAAUCUGAAAAAAUUCAAGUUUUUAGAACUAUGUACAUAUCUACUUUAAAUGAAUUAAACAUAGAAUUUUAAUCAAACUUAUAAUAAACAUUAAAAUUAAAGAAAGAUUAGAAACAAAAAAAAUCUGUCGAUGUACAACAAGAUAUAGAACCAAAAUACUACCAAAAUAAACUUUACUGUCCAAAGUGAAAAUAAAGUAAAACAACUAAAAGAAAAAAUUCCUAUUGGUUAGUUCAUAAGCACAAGGAUUGAGCUUUUCACCGUCAGAUGACGGGAUCCUCAUCCAAUGGACCAAAAUUAUUUUUUUAUUCAGUUCUGGAAUUUUUUGAGCAAACAGAUCUCAUAUCUUUCGACACAUUCUCUUAGACAACUUCAUCUCCUCAUCUCUUUCUCCUUAGGCUUUAUUCACUACUAGCCCCCUCAUUCUCUUUGCCAAUCUCUGCUCCAUUUCUCUCUACCCUCGCGAGAUCUCUGCUCCAUGACUCAUCUUCUCUCCCUUUGUCGAUUUAUCUUUUCUUCAUCUUCUUCUCUCUUAUCAAGAAUACUAGAUCUAGAAGCAGAGGCUAAGCAUCGAUGUUUCUCACGAUACUGACAAAUCUCAUUCCGCCGCGAGACGCGGCUGAGGUGGUCGACGACUCCGACACUCGCGGUACUCUCUCUCUCUCUCUCUCUCUCUCUCUAUGUUGAAUAUGACUUUUUUGUUUGUUAAGGUGGUCGCGAGCAGAGAUGGUGGUGCGGCGGGUGAGGACUGGAAGAUGAAGAAGACAACGAAGUGCAUGGAUUGAUGCGACAACGAAGCGCAUGGAAGAACACAACGACGAAGGUGGUGGUGCGAUGGGUGAGGAUUGGAAGAUGAAGACUACAACGAAGGUGGUUGUGCGGCGGAGUUUAGUUAGUAAUUAGGUUAAAGCUUAGUUUAGCUUUUGGUUUAUUAUUUAAUUAGAUUUAUUUUUAUAUUUUUGUAAUCCAAUUUAAUUAUAAAUCAAUUUAAGUAAUAAAGAAAUUUUAAAUCUAUGAAUUAAUUUUAAUUAUGUUUUUAUUUUUAAAUAAUUUACUAAAAAUAAAUAUAAAAUAAAUAAUUUUAAUAUAAAUAAUAACAAAAAACAAACACUAUUAAAAAAUGUUUAAUUGCAUACAAAAAAAUGCUAUAAUAUAUGACAAUAAGAUAGCAUCACGAAAAACCGCUAUCUAAUGUGCUUGACCUACUAUGACGGACGAUGAUACAGCGCUUCAUAAACCGCUAUCGUAUCAUUAGAUAGCGUUUUUCGCCCGCUAAGAAAAACUUUUUUUCUUGUAGUGAUAUAGUUGUUUUCAUCACAGCAUAGCAUGAUAAAAAAUGAUCACUUAACAAAUAUAAUGAUUUUGUUUAUCUAAUGCUUGUCUAUUCAAGAUUUAGAACAUUAAUGUGAUGUUUUGUCCACACAUUGAUAACGCAGACACACUUAAGGUUAACUAGAGAUUGAUCCGCACAUCUGCGCGGAUAUUGAUUCUUACAUUUUUAUACAUUGAUAUUUAUUUUUCAUAAUUAAUGUUAUAUAUUUUACAUGGGUCUUAAUAUAACUAAUUGUAUUCAAAUGAUCUAGACCGAAUAGGGUAAUAUUGUUAUUUUUGGUACAAAUAUCCUAAUCGAUUUCAGAUACAUUUGUAAUUUAGAUAUUUUUAGGUUUAUAUACAUCAUUACCAAACUCAUCCAUACCGAGAAGAACCCAACUCAAAAUCCACACAUAAAUUUAUAAUCAAGUGGGACCUAAUUUCAAAAAAAAGCGAUACCCGAAAAGAACAGCCCGUACUUAAUUGGAUAGCCAAUGUUCAUGCGUUACUGAUUUUAUAAACUAAUAAAAAUGACUCUAACUGAUUUUAUAAACUAAUAAAAAUGAUUAUUUCUAUGUGUUUGGUUAAAUUAAGUGAAAUAGAAAGAGUUUUUUAUUUAGUAAAAUAAUUAUAUGGAUUGAAAAAUUAAGUGAUAAAAAAUGUAAUACAUUUUUAUUACAUUGAUUUAAGUUAUUAUUUUAUUCAUAAAAACAUGUCUUUGAAUUAUUUUUUGGCUUCGUAAUUUUCCACCGAUUGAAACUAAAAUAAAUAAAUAAAUUUUAAUAAAACAAACUAAACCGAAAGUUUAAACAUAUGAAAAACUCAGUUAUUUUACAUUUUUGAUUUUAUAAUUGGCACAAAAUUAAUAUUAAUUAACUAAUAAAUAAAAAUCUGCUAUAUUAUUAUUAUGGUAAUAUAAUUAAUGAUGUGAUGUAUUGAUAAGAUAAUAUAAUUAAUGAAAUUGUUAAACUGAGUGAAAUAUGGAAAGACAAUUAAUGUAAUUAUAUUAAUGAAACUAAUAAAAAGACAUUAUACUUCUUUUUUAUACUAUUAUCCAUGUUUUCAAAAAAUUCUUAUUUAUAAUGAUAUUCAUGUUUUCAAACAAUAUCAAAUAGAUACUUCAAUUUUAAUAAUAACUAGAUCUUGAUCCGUGCGUCCGUACGGGUGUUUGCUUUAAUUUGUAAGAACAUUAUAAAAUUCAUAACUAUUUUAAAAAUUAUGGUAUCGUUAUAUAUUAAAGUUUGACUAUUAUUGUAUUUGUAAUAUGAAUAAAGGAAUACUAAUACAUUCAUAUAUUAAUAUUUUUGUUUCAUUGUUUAUUUGAUAUUAUAACCCAAAUAUUAUAGUUAUUUAUAGUAUUGUAUAUUUAAUUCUAUUUCGGUGGUCCAUAAAAAAAUUAGAAAGAAUGUUUACUCAAUCUAUUAGAUCCUUCGUAUUGUAUUUUUUUAUAUAUAUAUUGAAAACAAUUUUAUAAUGGUUGUUGAAAAAUAAAUUUGUAAAAAUUAAAUUUUGAAUACAUGUAUAUUUUUGAAUCAAUUUUUGUUUUGAAUUUUGUUUAAUGAUUAAUUUAGAAAAAUAUGUUUUUAGUUAAUUAGAUUCGAUCAGUUGCACAAAAAAAAGUAAUUAGAUUGAGUCAUUUUUGAAAUCUGGUCGAAACAGAUAAUUUAUAAAAAUAUAAUGGACAUCAAUUUUUUUAAUAACAUAAACCCAUUAUUUUUUUUAAUAUACUGUUAUUCAUAUUUUCACACAACAUUAUAUUUCUUUUUAAUUAUGUUAUUCUUGUUUCCAAGCAUUUCCAAAGGUACUUCUACUUUAAUAAGAUAAAAGAUAUAAUAUUGCAAAAAUAUGUUGUUAUUUAUUUUUUCAUGUCACUAUUAAAUAUAAUAUAUGUCUCAUCAUAUAAUUAAUCGUGUUUUUUACCUACCAUCAUAUAAGUAAUCAUAUAAUUAAUAGUAUUUUAUAUGUAUCAUCAUAUAAAUAAUUAUAAAUAUUAUAUUUUUAAAACUUAAUAUGAAAUAUAAAAAUCAUAAUUUACGUUGGUGAUUGAAAUUGCUUUGUAUUGAAUUUUUCUUAAAUAAUUUAAAACAUUUUUAUAAUGGUUAUAAAAAACAUUUUAGUAAAAUAAAUUUUUGAGUAUAUGUAUAUUUUUGAAUCAAUUUUUGAGAUAAAUUAAUUUUAAAUUAAUAUUUUGAUUUGAAAUAUGUCUAUAAAAUUUAAAUUUUGUUUUAUGAUUAUUUUAGACAAAAAUAUUUUUAAGUAAUUAGAUUGGGCUAGCCAUUUUCGUAUAUUUUAAAGCUGACUCAUAUAUAUUGUUUUCAUAAUAUAAUGAAUUCCCAAUUUUUCUUGAUAACGUAAGCCCUUUACUUUUUUUCUUUAAUAUAUUGUUAUUCAUGUUUCCAAACAACACUAUAUAUUUUUUUAACUUCUAUCUUCUUUUUUUGUCAUCAACGUAUAUACAUACUCAUACAGACUCUGUGAACCAAGCCGGGAGAUGUUGAUCCAUGUGAACGACGAAAGACGGUUGCUUUCUGACACUACGUGCUAGGCUAUCCGCCUUUGUAUUUUGCGUUCUUGGUACAUGGACAAUCUCUGAUCGGAGAAAACUUUCUUUCAGGAAUUUAAUAUCUUCUAAAUAACUUGCAAAAUCUGGUCAUUUUUCUGAUUCCAAAACCAUCUUCACCAAUUGAGAACAAUCCAUUGCAAACGUAACCUGAAAUUGACGUAAAUUCCUCAUACAUUCCAUUGCCUAGAGUAGUGCUUCCAUCUCCGCAUAGAGAGGAGAUAGACUAGCCCGAACAUUCCUCGCCCUCAUCUGCCCAUCAAAACCUUCUAAAGUACUGAACCAACCAUGUCCGGAGAAAACGUCUUUCUCUUUUCAGGAACCAUCUGUGAAACACCAUCUACCUGGAAUUAACGGUAAUGACUAACCUCUACCUGUGAUACUAUCCUCUGUUUCUUUGCUAUAUGCGCUUCAGUCCAAAGUGUGGACUAUGUUUCUGCUAAUUUUAAAUUCUAUCUAUGUUACCAAACAAAAACUUAAAGUACUUCUACUUUAAUAAGAUAGAUAUAAUAUAGAUAUAAGUUAUAUAAAGAUUAAGCACCAACAUUAAGUCAAGUAGUGACCACGUUUAGGUUUCAAGACAACUUCUUCUCUUGUUUCUGGCCUUGGAGGAGAAAAUCACAUCCAAGACUCAAGCGAUAAUUCAACCGCACCGCAGUACCUGCAAAAUAUGUAGAGUUAUUCUUGGGUUCACCCUCAAGAGGUUCACCAACUAAUAGGAUUUCAUUAUUUUAAAUUCGAUAUUUUUUAGAAAAGAAAACAAAAUAUUAUCAGGUUAUAUUAUAUUUUUAAAAUAAAAAAUAGUAGUUACAGAAAAAAAAUUUAAAAAAAUAUUUUUGACGUCGUCAGCAAAACAUUAAACCCUAAAUUCUAAUCCCUAAACUCUAAAUCCGAAACUCUAAACCCUUGGAUAAAUUAUAAACUCUAAAUCAAAAACAAUAAACACUAAAACCCUAAACCAUAAAUCCUAAACCCUAAACCUUUGAGCGUUUUAGUGUUUAAUAUUUUUGAUUUAGAGUUUAGGAUUUAUCCAAGGGUUUAAGAUUUACCCAAGGGUUUAGGUUUUAGGAUUUGGGGUUUAAGGAUUAGGAUUUAGUUUUUUCUUGACGAUGUUAAAAGUAUUUUUUUUGUAAUUACUACUAUUUUUAAUUUAUUUUUUAUUUUAAAUAUAUAAUAUAACCUGAUAAUACUUUGUUUCUUUUAAUAAAAGAUAUCGAAUUUGAAAUAACACAAUCCUAUUGGUUGGUGAACCUAGAGGUUCGCCCUAGGGGGCGAACCCAAGAAUAAGUCAAAUAUGUAUAUAGACUUUCGUCCCAUUUUAAACCAACUUAAUAAGGGUUUUCUAUUUUAUGAAGUAAUUUUUUACUAGAGGUGGGUAUUUGGAUAUCCGUUCGGGUUUGAUUUUGUAUUUAUUCGAGUUUUAAAUUUUUGGAGUUAGAAAGUUAAACUUCACUCGGGUAUUUAUACAUUUUGGUUUGAAUUUAUAUAAGAUUUUUGCGGGUUUGGUUCCGGUUCAGUAUCCAUUUAAAUUACUUUAAUAAAAUAAAAAAUAUAUACUUAAAAAUUCUAAAAGUCCAAAAAUAAAAUAACAUAUAGCAUAUAAGUUUGAAUAGUUUAUGUCUUAAUAUCUAAAUUAAAAUAAAAUUGUUUUGUUAUUGACAUUUGGAAGGAAAAAUUGUUACGUAUUUUGAGUACUUUUGGUAUUUUGAAUAUAUUUUAGCCAUUUUGGAUUUUGGCUGCUUGUAUAUAUUUCUAGGUAUUUUAGACACUUUCAAAAAUGUAUAGUUUUAGAUAUUAGAUUUAAAAAAUUAAUGUAUUUAGAUAAAUAAUAUAUAUUUGGAUAUUUUUGGAUACCUAAAAUAUUUCAGUUCAGAUAAGUUUGGUUUCGAGUUCUUCAAAUACCAAAAUUUUGACUUCAUCUGGAUAUUUAAUCAGAUUCGGUUCAGGUAUAGUAUUACUUUUCAGAUAAAUUUCGAUUCAGUUCUUCGGGUCUGGGCAUUUUGCCCAGCACUAGUUUUUACCUUCCUUUUUAAAAUAAUCGUUCAUAAGAUAUCAUGCGAGGACAUGAGCUACACAUAACAUGCAGAUGCGGAUGACUGUUUUUGUUCGUCACUUGUCACUCACUUCACAGCGAUACACACACAUGCAUGCAUUAUUACACGUGAUCGCCAUGCAAAUCUCCAUUCUCACCUAUAAAUUACGUCCUCAGCUUCACACUUUACUCAAAUCAAAAUCAUCAUAAUUACAAACAAGGUUAAAAACAUACACAAAUGGCGAACAAGCUCUUCCUCGUCUCGGCAACUCUCGCCUUCUUCUUCCUUCUCACCAAUGCCUCCGUCUACAGGACGGUUGUGGAAGUCGACGAAGAUGAUGCCACAAACCCAGCCGGUCCAUUUAGGAUUCCAAAAUGUAGGAAGGAGUUUCAGCAAGCACAACACCUAAGAGCUUGCCAGCAAUGGCUCCACAAGCAGGCAAUGCAGUCUGGUAGUGGUCCAAGCUGGACCCUCGACGGUGAAUUUGAUUUUGAAGACGACAUGGAGAACCCCCAGGGCCCACAACAGAGGCCCCCGCUACUCCAGCAGUGCUGCAACGAGCUCCAUCAGGAAGAGCCACUUUGCGUUUGCCCAACCUUGAAAGGAGCAUCCAAAGCCGUUAAACAACAGGUUCGACAACAGGGACAACAGCAGGGACAGCAGGGACAGCAGCUGCAGCAAGUAAUUAGCCGUAUCUACCAGACCGCUACGCACUUACCUAGAGUUUGCAACAUCCCGCAAGUUAGCAUUUGUCCCUUCCAGAAGACCACGCCUGGGCCCUACUACUAGAUUCCAAACGAAAUCCUCGGGAAUGUAUAUACCGCGGUGAUGAAUGUGGUUGUUGAUGUAUGUUAACACUUCAUAGUCAUGGUGUGUGUUCCAUAAAUAAUGUACGUUAAAAUGUUCGAGG
rnacentral:lncRNA from 1 species